AUUCCAGCUCCAAGAGCGUAUAUUAAAGUUGUUGCAGUUAAAAAGCUCGUAGUUGGAUUUCUGGUACAAUGCGCCUGGCCCGCGACGGUUACGUCUGUGAGUGCCGGUGCGCGUUUGCCAUCCUUCUAGAAAACGUUUCUACCCUUCGCUGGGCCGGAUUCGCGAUCUAGAUCUUUUACUUUGAAAAAAUUAGAGUGUUUAAAGCAGGCUUUUGCUAUGAAUACAUUAGCAUGGAAUAAUAAUCUAGGACUUCGGUUCUAUUUUGUUGGUUUCUAGUACUGAAGUAAUGAUUGAUAGGGAUAGUUGGGGGUGCUAGUAUUGGCCGGCCAGAGGUGAAAUUCUUGGAUUCGGUCAAGACUAACUUAUGCGAAAGCAUUCACCAAGGAUGUCUUCAUCA
rnacentral:rRNA from 1 species